rnacentral:rRNA from 1 species
AACGAGCGCUGGCGGCAUGCCUAACACAUGCAAGUCGAACGAGAUCUUCGGGUCUAGUGGCGCACGGGUGCGUAACGCGUGGGAAUCUGCCCUUUGGUUCGGAAUAACAGUUGGAAACGACUGCUAAUACCGGAUGAUGACGAAAGUCCAAAGAUUUAUCGCCAGAGGAUGAGCCCGCGUAGGAUUAGCUAGUUGGUGUGGUAAAGGCGCACCAAGGCGACGAUCCUUAGCUGGUCUGAGAGGAUGAUCAGCCACACUGGGACUGAGACACGGCCCAGACUCCCACGGGAGGCAGCAGUGGGGAAUAUUGGACAAUGGGCGAAAGCCUGAUCCAGCAAUGCCGCGUGAGUGAUGAAGGCCUUAGGGUUGUAAAGCUCUUUUACCCGGGAUGAUAAUGACAGUACCGGGAGAAUAAGCUCCGGCUAACUCCGUGCCAGCCGCCGCAGUAA